rnacentral:rRNA from 1 species
GACGAACCGUGCGAACGUUGUUCGGAUUCACUGGGCUUAAAGGGCGCGUAGGCGGUUUCUCAAGUCCGGGGUGAAAUCUUUCGGCUUAACCGGAAAAGUGCCUUGGAUACUGAGAAGCUGGAGGGAGGUAGGGGCAGCUGGAACUUCCAGUGGAGCGGUGAAAUGCGUUGAUAUUGGAAGGAACUCCGGUGGCGAAAGCGAGCUGCUGGAUCUCUUCUGACGCUGAGGCGCGAAAGCUAGGGGAGCAAACGGG